rnacentral:rRNA from 1 species
UGGGGAAUAUUGCACAAUGGAGGGAACUCUGAUGCAGCGACGCCGCGUGAACGAAGAAGGCUUUCGAGUCGUAAAGUUCUUUUAUAUGGGAAGAUAAUGACGGUACCAUAAGAAAAAGCCCCGGCUAACUACGUGCCAGCAGCCGCGGUAAUACGUAGGGGGCUAGCGUUGUCCGGAAUCACUGGGCGUAAAGGGUUCGCAGGCGGAAAUGCAAGUCAGGUGUAAAAGGCAGUAGCUUAACUACUGUAAGCAUUUGAAACUGCAUAUCUUGGGAAGAGUAGAGGUAAGUGGAAUUUUUAGUGUAGCGGUGAAAUGCGUAGAUAUUAAAAAGAAUACCGGUGGCGAAUGCGACUUACUGGGCUCAUUCUGACGCUGAGGAACGAAAGCGUGGGUAGCAAACAGG